rnacentral:rRNA from 1 species
UACAGAGGGGGCAAGCGUUAUUCGGAAUUAUUGGGCGUAAAGGGCGCGUAGGCGGCCUGGCAAGUGGAAGGUGAAAUCCCUCGGCUUAACCGAGGAACUGCCCUCCAAACUGCUUGGCUUGAGUCCGGGAGAGGUGAGUGGAAUUCCCAGUGUAGCGGUGAAAUGCGUAGAUAUUCGGAGGAACACCAGUGGCGAAGGCGGCUCACUGGUCCGGUACUGACGCUGAGGUGCGAAAGCGUGGGGAGCAAACAGG